rnacentral:rRNA from 1 species
GAUCCUGGCUCAGGACGAACGCUGGCGGCGCGCCUAACACAUGCAAGUCGAACGGAGCUUGAAGAGCUUGCUUUUUAAGCUUAGUGGCGAACGGGUGAGUAACGCGUGAGUAACCUGCCCUGGAGCGGGGGACAACAGUUGGAAACGACUGCUAAUACCGCAUAAGCCCACGGAUUCGCAUGGAUCUGCGGGAAAAGGAUUUAUUCGCUUCAGGAUGGACUCGCGCCCAAUUAGCUAGUUGGUG